rnacentral:rRNA from 1 species
AGUGGCGAACGGGUGAGUAACACGUGAGCAACCUGCCCCUGACUCUGGGAUAAGCGCUGGAAACGGCGUCUAAUACUGGAUAUGUGACGUGAYCGCAUGGUCUGCGUCUGGAAAGAAUUUCGGUUGGGGAUGGGCUCGCGGCCUAUCAGCUUGUUGGUGAGGUAAUGGCUCACCAAGGCGUCGACGGGUAGCCGGCCUGAGAGGGUGACCGGCCACACUGGGACUGAGACACGGCCCAGACUCCUACGGGAGGCAGCAGUGGGGAAUAUUGCACAAUGGGCGCAAGCCUGAUGCAGCAACGCCGCGUGAGGGACGACGGCCUUCGGGUUGUAAACCUCUUUUAGCAGGGAAGAAGCGAAAGUGACGGUACCUGCAGAAAAAGCGCCGGCUAACUACGUGCCAGCAGCCGCGGUAAUACGUAGGGCGCAAGCGUUAUCCGGAAUUAUUGGGCGUAAAGAGCUCGUAGGCGGUUUGUCGCGUCUGCUGUGAAAUCCGGAGGCUCAACCUCCGGCCUGCAGUGGGUACGGGCAGACUAGAGUGCGGUAGGGGAGAUUGGAAUUCCUGGUGUAGCGGUGGAAUGCGCAGAUAUCAGGAGGAACACCGAUGGCGAAGGCAGAUCUCUGGGCCGUAACUGACGCUGAGGAGCGAAAGGGUGGGGAGCAAACAGGCUUAGAUACCCUGGUAGUCCACCCCGUAAACGUUGGGAACUAGUUGUGGGGUCCAUUCCACGGAUUCCGUGACGCAGCUAACGCAUUAAGUUCCCCGCCUGGGGAGUACGGCCGCAAGGCUAAAACUCAAAGGAAUUGACGGGGACCCGCACAAGCGGCGGAGCAUGCGGAUUAAUUCGAUGCAACGCGAAGAACCUUACCAAGGCUUGACAUAUACGAGAACGGGCCAGAAAUGGUCAACUCUUUGGACACUCGUAAACAGGUGGUGCAUGGUUGUCGUCAGCUCGUGUCGUGAGAUGUUGGGUUAAGUCCCGCAACGAGCGCAACCCUCGUUCUAUGUUGCCAGCACGUAAUGGUGGGAACUCAUGGGAUACUGCCGGGGUCAACUCGGAGGAAGGUGGGGAUGACGUCAAAUCAUCAUGCCCCUUAUGUCUUGGGCUUCACGCAUGCUACAAUGGCCGGUACAAAGGGCUGCAAUACCGCGAGGUGGAGCGAAUCCCAAAAAGCCGGUCCCAGUUCGGAUUGAGGUCUGCAACUCGACCUCAUGAAGUCGGAGUCGCUAGUAAUCGCAGAUCAGCAACGCUGCGGUGAAUACGUUCCCGGGUCUUGUACACACCGCCCGUCAAGUCAUGAAAGUCGGUAACACCUGAAGCCGGUGGCCU